CCGUCGUGAAGAGGGAAACAACCCAGACCGCCAGCUAAGGUCCCAAAGUCAUGGUUAAGUGGGAAACGAUGUGGGAAGGCCCAGACAGCCAGGAUGUUGGCUUAGAAGCAGCCAUCAUUUAAAGAAAGCGUAAUAGCUCACUGGUCGAGUCGGCCUGCGCGGAAGAUGUAACGGGGCUAAACCAUGCACCGAAGCUGCGGCAGCGACACUAUGUGUUGUUGGGUAGGGGAGCGUUCUGUAAGCCUGUGAAGGUGUACUGUGAGGUAUGCUGGAGGUAUCAGAAGUGCGAAUGCUGACAUAAGUAACGAUAAAGCGGGUGAAAAGCCCGCUCGCCGGAAGACCAAGGGUUCCUGUCCAACGUUAAUCGGGGCAGGGUGAGUCGACUCCUAAGGCGAGGCCGAAAGGCGUAGUCGAUGGGAAACAGGUUAAUAUUCCUGUACUUGGUGUUACUGCGAAGGGGGGACGGAGAAGGCUAUGUUGGCCGGGCGACGGUUGUCCCGGUUUAAGCGUGUAGGCUGGUUUUCCAGGCAAAUCCGGAAAACUAAGGCUGAGGCGUGAUGACGAGGCACUACGGUGCUGAAGCAACAAAUGCCCUGCUUCCAGGAAAAGCCUCUAAGCAUCAGGUAACAUCAAAUCGUACCCCAAACCGACACAGGUGGUCAGGUAGAGAAUACCAAGGCGCUUGAGAGAACUCGGGUGAAGGAACUAGGCAAAAUGGUGCCGUAACUUCGGGAGAAGGCACGCUGAUAUGUAGGUGAAGUCCCUCGCGGAUGGAGCUGAAAUCAGUCGAAGAUACCAGCUGGCUGCAACUGUUUAUUAAAAACACAGCACUGUGCAAACACGAAAGUGGACGUAUACGGUGUGACGCCUGCCCGGUGCCGGAAGGUUAAUUGAUGGGGUCAGCGCAAGCGAAGCUCUUGAUCGAAGCCCCGGUAAACGGCGGCCGUAACUAUAACGGUCCUAAGGUAGCGAAAUUCCUUGUCGGGUAAGUUCCGACCUGCACGAAUGGCGUAAUGAUGGCCAGGCUGUCUCCACCCGAGACUCAGUGAAAUUGAACUCGCUGUGAAGAUGCAGUGUACCCGCGGCAAGACGGAAAGACCCCGUGAACCUUUACUAUAGCUUGACACUGAACAUUGAGCCUUGAUGUGUAGGAUAGGUGGGAGGCUUUGAAGUGUGGACGCCAGUCUGCAUGGAGCCGACCUUGAAAUACCACCCUUUAAUGUUUGAUGUUCUAACGUUGACCCGUAAUCCGGGUUGCGGACAGUGUCUGGUGGGUAGUUUGACUGGGGCGGUCUCCUCCUAAAGAGUAACGGAGGAGCACGAAGGUUGGCUAAUCCUGGUCGGACAUCAGGAGGUUAGUGCAAUGGCAUAAGCCAGCUUGACUGCGAGCGUGACGGCGCGAGCAGGUGCGAAAGCAGGUCAUAGUGAUCCGGUGGUUCUGAAUGGAAGGGCCAUCGCUCAACGGAUAAAAGGUACUCCGGGGAUAACAGGCUGAUACCGCCCAAGAGUUCAUAUCGACGGCGGUGUUUGGCACCUCGAUGUCGGCUCAUCACAUCCUGGGGCUGAAGUAGGUCCCAAGGGUAUGGCUGUUCGCCAUUUAAAGUGGUACGCGAGCUGGGUUUAGAACGUCGUGAGACAGUUCGGUCCCUAUCUGCCGUGGGCGCUGGAGAACUGAGGGGGGCUGCUCCUAGUACGAGAGGACCGGAGUGGACGCAUCACUGGUGUUCGGGUUGUCAUGCCAAUGGCACUGCCCGGUAGCUAAAUGCGGAAGAGAUAAGUGCUGAAAGCAUCUAAGCACGAAACUUGCCCCGAGAUGAGUUCUCCCUGACUCCUUGAGAGUCCUGAAGGAACGUUGAAGACGACGACGUUGAUAGGCCGGGUGUGUAAGCGCAGCGAUGCGUUGAGCUAACCGGUACUAAUGAACCGUGAGGCUUAACCUUACAACGCCGAAGGUGUUU
rnacentral:rRNA from 1 species